UACGUAGGGUGCAAGCGUUGUCCGGAAUUAUUGGGCGUAAAGAGCUCGUAGGCGGUCUGUCGCGUCGGCUGUGAAAACCCGGAGCUCAACUCCGGGCCUGCAGUCGAUACGGGCAAACUGGAGUACUGCAGGGGAGACUGGAAUUCCUGGUGUAGCGGUGAAAUGCGCAGAUAUCAGGAGGAACACCGGUGGCGAAGGCGGGUCUCUGGGCAGUAACUGACGCUGGAGGAGCGAAAAGCGUGGGGAGCGAACAGG
rnacentral:rRNA from 1 species